CUUUUUAGGGCCUCACCCGCAGCAUAUGGAAGUUCCCAGAUUAGGGGUCGAAUCAGAGCUGCAGCUGCCAGCCUACACCCCAGCUACCACAACACCAGAUCCGAACCGCAUCUGCAACCUACACCACAGCUUAUUGCAACACCGGAUCCUUAACCCAUUGAGUGGGGCCAGGGAUUAUCCUCAUGGAUACUAGUCGUUUUGUUAUCGCUGACCCGCAACGGGAACUCCUAUUCUAAUUAUUUUAAAGUAGCCACAUGUGGCUAGUGGUGACUGAACUGGAGGGCAAUGUCGCCCUUGAAAUUCCUGCAGCAUGUCAUGAUGGCUCUCUGCCACGGGCAUGACCCAUCCCCGCACAUAAAAAAACACCUGCCGAUCCCCAAAUAGGGUGUUUGUUUGUGCCUCUGGACUCCUACACAUGUUGCUCCUCUAGACUGGACUUAACACUCUUAGCCUGGCUGGCAGACUCUUCUUUAUCCCUUAAACCCACCCCAGGUGUCUCCUCUUCUCGGAAGUCUUCCCUGAUUUUCCUGCUCUCCUCCCCAUUCAUGACAGCCUCUGUACUGGCACGGCAGGUACGGAGGCUGUGCUCAUGGUACUGCAGUGGGUUAUGAGUCUGUCUUUUCCACAAUGGAAAGCAGUAGAUAGAGUGUGGUGGCAAGAGUGAACAAGGAAACAGCUGCCUAGUGUCAAAUCCUGGCUCCAACACUUAUUAGUAGCUUUAUAACCUCAGGUAAGCAAGUUACAGGACCUCUGCGCUCCAUGAACCAUCUGUAAAAAUCAAGGUUUUUUUGGGGUUUUUUUUCCCUCUCUUUUCUUUUCCGGCCGCACCUGCAGCAUAUGGAAGUUCCUGGGCCAGGGACUGAAUCCAAGCCACAGCUGAGACCUACAGCAAUUCCAGACGCAAGGCACCCUGUGUCACCUGCACGUGCAGCAAUUCCACAUCCUUAACCCACUACGCUGGGCCAGGGAUCAAACCUGUGCUACAGUAGAGACAAUGCUGGGUCCUUAACCCCCUGCACCACAGCAGGAACUCUGAAAAUCAAGUUACUAAUGGUAACUUCGUUGUGGUUUUUGCAACAACUAAAUGACCAAACACAGAUAAAACAUUACCAGGUUGCCUGGAAAGGAGCAAGGAAUUAAUAACACUGAGUGAGGCCUUGUGCAUUAUUUCUAAUUAAGUUAUCAGACUAUACAUCUUCAACAAGGUACUAGGUCUUUUUGCCUUUUUUCUUUUUAUAGCUACACCUGCAACAUACGGAAGUUCAGAGCUGCAGCUGCUGGCCGAUGCCACAGCCACAGCAAUUUGGGAUCCAGGCCAUUGUCUUUGAACUACACUGCAGCUUGUGCUAACUCCGAAUCCUUAACCCACUGAGCGAGGCCAGGGAUCGAACCCACAUCCUUUCGGACACUAUGUCAGGUUCUUAACCUGCUGAGCCACAGUGGAAACUCCCAGGAAUUAUGCACUCAUGAAAGUGUAUUCACCCUCAACUGAGUUCUGAAUACACUCCAUAAUACUCAACAGCCUUGUUCUAAAUGUCAAACUCAAGAGACUAAAAAGAGAUCUUAGCAGAGGCAAGGGCAGAAGAAUGAGGUCUCAGAUCAAAGGUAUUUAUGGGGGCAUUUAUCUCCCUAUGUCCCACCAGACCCUCUCUCCAUGCCCAACCUGGCCAAAUCUUGACCAAAAUGUUCCUGAUGGAGCUAAGCCUUAUCCCGAAAGUUUGGGGAGCAGUAGCACAAAGCUCAAGUGCCAGGGUCGAACAUUAUUAUAAGGGCUAUGGAUCAGCAACUCUAAGCUCUGAAAACUCUGUUCCCACUACGUUCCCCUCAAAGUUCUAGUUCUUCCGUCCCCCUCUUUUCCUAAGUGGAUAUCUGGGUAAGUGUUGAGAGGGAACCUUCAAUUUACCAAAACAGUCCUACACACCUAGAUUCUAGUGGUUCUCCACCUGUGCCCCUGGACCUGAACGAGAGGGAUCUUUUGAGUCCCUCUGAGGCUCCCAGGUUUCACUGAAGGCAAAUAAAGAUUAGCAGCAGGUGCAACAAACGUUAAAAAUGAUUCGUGUUCAAUCUAUAGGCUUUUUAGCCCAUGUAGGGUCUCAAAGGGACUGCUCAGUCCCUGAUUUCAGUGGCUUCCUCCUGCUACAGGGCUCCCUGGCACAGGCCCUCAGCCAGGAGGUUAAAGGGGCAACAUCAGGGAGCAUGGGAUACACAGCAAGCGCAUCUCUAAUGGGGCUUUCUCCUUGGCUCCUUGUACACGCAGAAUGACGUCAGCUUCCACUUCAG
rnacentral:lncRNA from 1 species